GAUUUUCAUGGCUACCAUCUGAGCUAACAUACUUGCAGGUAUUUGUGGACUGUACUGUCCAAAUGUCCUCGAAUGAGAGGGGUUGCUAUGGAAUUUAUUAUCCUUUUCUUCCAUAACUCUUCUUGUAUAUUGGUUAGAUCGUAUCAAUGGUCAUAUGGGUGCUGGUUCCUCCAUAUGCAUGGCCUCAUUCUGACAGAGUUUAUCGUUAUGGCCUAGAAUACCACAUUUAAAGCAAACUUGUGGUAGUUUCUCAUACCGAAAAUCAACCCAUGUGGUGUCAUCCCUGUGAUUUCCAAUUAAUAUUCCUGUUUGUAUAGGUUGAUAGACAUUCAUAGUAACCUUGAUUUUGAUUAUCAUCUCCUUACUAGGAUAUUCAUAAAAUUUUGCAGCUUCUACCUUACCAAUCAAAUUCCCAAUGAUUUCUCCCAUUUUCUUGGUUUUGCAAUGUGGGGGUAGCCCCCAAAGUUGAAUCCACAUAGGGCAAUAGUGAAAUCCUUUGUUUUGGCGUCAGUUUGUCUAUCCCAAGCCUUCACAAUUAACCAAGAAUUUCUAAAGAUCCAUGGGUUGCAUAGUAUGAUUCUUUCUUAAUCUAUAUUUCUUUCCAUGAAAAAUUGCAAUAAUUCACCUUCAAUUUCUUGGGUUUUUAGGCCCGGUAGUGCUUCCCAUAUACUAUCUAAUCAUUUUAAAUAGAACUAACUCGGUUUUUCAGUGAUUAUCUUACCUAGUAAACUUCUUUUGCAAGCAUUAAUAGCUUCAUGGAUAUCUGUUUUAGGAUAGACAAAAAAUCCAGACCUGGUAGCAGAUGAUGUUGCUGGAGAAUCAGUGGAGUGAUGUUGUUGGUGUUGUUCCAUGACUGGUGCUUGAGGAAUCACCAAUCUUGUGCUUCAGGAAUCACAAUUCUUGGUCUGGUAACAGCUUGGGAGUUUUCUUUGGAGUGGUUUGCUUGAAUUUCAAUGGUGUAUCACACAAAACAGAUAGUAUUGCAAAGAUAAAGGGCGCAAAAAAUUCACAAAGACCAACAAUGAUUAGAGCACUUCCACAAAGGAAAUAA
rnacentral:lncRNA from 1 species